AUUGAACGCUGGCGGCAUGCUUUACACAUGCAAGUCGAACGGUAACAGGGUGCUUGCACCGCUGACGAGUGGCGAACGGGUGAGUAACGCGUCGGAACGUGCCGAGUAGUGGGGGAUAACGCAGCGAAAGUUGUGCUAAUACCGCAUACGUACUGAGGUAGAAAGUGGGGGACCUUCGGGCCUCACGCUAUUCGAGCGGCCGACGUCUGAUUAGCUAGUAGGUGAGGUAAAGGCUCACCUAGGCGACGAUCAGUAGCGGGUCUGAGAGGAUGAUCCGCCACACUGGGACUGAGACACGGCCCAGACUCCUACGGGAGGCAGCAGUGGGGAAUUUUGGACAAUGGGCGAAAGCCUGAUCCAGCCAUGCCGCGUGUCUGAAGAAGGCCUUCGGGUUGUAAAGGACUUUUGUCAGGGAGGAAAUCCCUAGUGCUAAUAACACUGGGGGAUGACAGUACCUGAAGAACAAGCACCGGCUAACUACGUGCCAGCAGCCGCCGUAA
rnacentral:rRNA from 1 species